UUGAGAAACAUUUUUCAGAAAACAUUUUCAUCUACCAAACACACCGUCUCUCUCUCUCUGAAGUAUUCUCAUUAUCGUCUCUCUCUAUGCUAGGUCUCGCCUCUCUCAAAAAUUGACGGUGAACAAACGGUAUUGCAUCUGCCGGCGACGGGGAACAAGCGGUCAAUUUCACUGAACAUGCAGAAAUUCCAGGAGUUGUUUUAUUUCCCGAGGCCACACUUCCUCUAUGAAUCAUUCAGCCUAAUUUUAUAGCUAUUGUUGAAAGAGCACUGAGGCAAGUUGAUGCUCCUUAGACAAUCGGUGUGAUUCGAGUUUACAAGGAUCCAAGUAGUGGAAGGGUAACACAUGCAACUACCGGUACAACUGCUGAGGUGCUUAGUAAAGAAAAUCAAUUGCAUCAAAAGUAAUGUUAAUGGACGACGUAAGAAAAGUAAGAAGGGACCCGAUAAUUGUCCUGCAGGUCAAUCCACCACCACCACCUGUUACCACAACUCUUCAACCAACUACUAAAAAUAUUCCUCCCCCUCUUAGAUCAACUAUUUCACGAUCAAAUGCAUUUUUCAUGCCUCCAACGUCUGACCACUUACAGACCUCUUUAUCCCAAAAUAGUCUGCAUAGCAACUCUUCAUCUAUGUCUUCGACAUCAUCCACACCAAGCCUUUCUGGAUUGAGAAUUGGAGGUCCCAACACACCAACAUCCCCAUCCAUUGAUAGUGCUAUAGCGACUAAUGCUACAAUAGCUGCUUCUCAGAAUCUACAAUUUAUAGAGGUAUUAGAAUAUGACAAGUUUAGGAGGCUAUGAAUCGUCGCUUAUUGUGAUGGGUUCAUUCCAGCAUAUGACGUUGGGCAUAUGGUUAUAGAAGCAAUUAAACCUUUUUUCAAUAAGCUGUGGAAUAGUUGGUUAGAGAUUCCAUACAAAAUUAGAAUUGUUACAUGUGGAAACAGUUUAUGGUAUAAGACGUUUUAUAAGCUAUGAAUCUCAUUGCCUAAAGAUAGUUUUUCCAUUGUAUCCAUCAACUUAGGGUGUGUUUGGUAUGAUGGAAAAUAUUUUUCAGAAAAUGUUUUCCGGUUUUCCCUUAUUUGGUUGCAACAAAAGUUUAGGAAAAUAUUUUCCAAGACAACUUUUUUUCAUUAUUUGAUGGAAAAUAACUUCCCUCAUGGGCCAAGGGAAGUCAUUUUUCAGAAAAUGACAAAUGUGACUUAUGACCUCAUCCUCACCCCUCUUCCCACCCCAACAACACUUAUAUUCAUAUGACUAAAAAAAUUUACAUUUCUAAAAAAUUUACAUUACUCGGAAAUGUUUUUCACUGUGCUUUGCUUCGAUUUUUCACUGUUUGAAAUAAAAAAUAAUGAAGCCCGAAUUUUUUCUAUUUUCAAUUUGUUGAAUAUAUUGUUAUUUUCAUAUGCAUAGAGGAAGAUUUACUUAUGUUACUGUUGUUAAUUGCAUAUUUCAUUUUGUUAUCGAUGUAACUUGUUUCACGAGGUUGAAUAAGUUUGUCGUUCUGUUAUAUUUCUAUUAAUUGUGGUAUCUUGAGAUUGUCCUAACAAAAUAUUGAAAAGUGUCUCCUAUAUUUGUUAAUUAAUAGUUGCUUAAAUUUAGUGAUUGUAAUAUUUUAGUAUUCGAUAUUGAUAUUAUUUGUUAUGCUUAAAUUAGUUCUUACAAAUUGUUGAUUUGCUAGAGGCACUGAUGUACUAGUUAACAGAUAGUAGUAUUUUCUAAAAAAUAUUUUUUCACUCAUCAAUCGAACACUAGAAAAUAUUUUUCUAAAAAAUAUUCUCUACUCACCAACCAAAUACCAUAAAAUAUUUUCUGGAAAAUAUUUUUCAUUCACCAACCAAACAUGAGAAAAUAAGUAGAAAAUCAAAUUAUUUUCCAGGAAAACAUUUUCCAUGGAAAAUAUUUUCCAUCAUAAAAAACACAUUCUUAUUUUAUGACUUUAUAUUAAACUAUUUUGCAGACAAAGUGUUCAUGGAGUGAUUGUCAUGGUAAUGAAGUAGACCGCAUUUUUUGGUUGAAAGAAGCUCUACGGAUCAAAGAACUCUUGUAUGAGGCUCUAAGAAAAUUGGUACAACCCAGUUGGGUGAAUGAUGAAGUGUGGUAUAAGAUCUUGAUAUUAUGGGACACUCCUGAAUAUAAGGCGAAGAGGGAAUGGGGAAAGGCAAAUCGAGCAUCUGAAAUGGGUGGCUCGCUGCACACCGGUGGUUCGAUGAGUUUUUCUAUCCACCAACGAAGACUGUCACCUGGGCUUCAUUGAAACUGCUUCAACAAGCCCUUCUGAAGUCAAGUUCAAUGCAUUGGUUCUUGAUGAUGAAACCAAUAGACGCUGAACUGUAGGUGCAUUAGUAGUUUUACUUUUUAGCUGAUAUAGUGCUUUUCCAUCUUUAGCUUUAAAUGUAAUGUCUUUCAUCUGAUUAGUCUUUAAAAUUAGAUUUAUGCCAACUUCGUUACACUUUUCAGCUCAAAUUUGCUUCGAUCUCAAUGUACUAUCUAAGUUAUUUUCCAUAUUAAAUCUCUUUCAAGUUGGGAUUUUCACUGUUCAUAGUAAUUUUUCAUGUCCUUGGUGGAAGUUUCCUCAAUCGUUCAAUUAAAUUUUUUCCCAUUUAGCAUUUCCAGUAUUCUUUUCCUGAAAUAACUAUAUGAUUUUGCACAGAAACAUCAGUCACUUGGACAUAUAUGACAGUCAAAUGCAUAGAUACUACUAUAAGUUAAGAUCAUGCUUUUCACUAGCAAUUCUGAGAAAAUAAUGUUUACAACUUAUUUGCUUAAUCAUGAAUUUUUAAACUGGUACAAUUAUGUCAUUGCAAUUGUCACAACUCACAACCUAAAUAUAGGACAACUAGUACCGAGUGAGAGGAUAAUUUAUGUUAGAACAAAACAUAGUUCUUGACUAUUAUCUAUAGUACUUCACUAACAUCAUCAGCCAAAUUUCCCUUAACGUAAAGAUUACAACAACAUAGCCAGUGCAAUCCCACACAAUGGGGUUCGACUGAGGAGGGUAAUGUGUACGUAGAUCUUACCCCUACCUUAUGGUGUAGAGAGCCUAUUUUCGAUAGACCCUCAACUCAAGUAGUAAUUACCCUGCCAGUUUUGCAAUUUCUGCAAUUUCUUAUAAAA